GGGUGCUGAAAAGGCACAGCAGCUCCCGAUGGGAGAGGGAGGAAGCUCCUCCCUGUUAACCUUUUCCAUACAGUGGUCCCUACGGACUGCGGCAUGGAAGGGGUUUAAAUCAAGGUCUGACAGGGG